GAGUGAAAUUCAUAAAAAUCACUUCAAAGCUUAACUUUGAGGCUUAAUCUAGGAUUGCAUUCAACUGUAGAUUGCAUUCCAUUACAAAAGCAAGUGGUUGACAGUAGGCUAUGCAAUUCAUAAACAAGUUGCAAAACAGGAAAGCUAAAACAAACAAGCAAAAGCAUAGGUUAAACAACAAAAAUCAAAACGAGCAAAAUAUAAAACCUAAAGAUAAAGGAAGGGCAAGGCUUCCCAUAUCUCAUACCUUCUAUUCCUAAAUAAAUAAGCUACCUACAACUACAACCAGGCAAAAUAGCAGCAUCGAUCUACCUCAUUGCAGUUCCAAUACAAUGUAUGAAACAGAAAAUUAUCCAAAAA
rnacentral:misc_RNA from 1 species